rnacentral:misc_RNA from 1 species
CCAAUAGCGUAUAUUAAAGUUGUUGUGGUUAAAAAGCUCGUAGUUGAACCUUGGGCCUGGCUGGCCGGUCCGCCUCACCGCGUGUACUGGUCCGGCCGGGCCUUUCCCUCUGUGGAACCCCAUGCCCUUCACUGGGUGUGGCGGGGAAACAGGACUUUUACUGUGAAAAAAUUAGAGUGCUCCAGGCAGGCCUAUGCUCGAAUACAUUAGCAUGGAAUAAUAGAAUAGGACGUGUGGUUCUAUUUUGUUGGUUUCUAGGACCGCCGUAAUGAUUAAUAGGGACAGUCGGGGGCAUCAGUAUUCAAUUGUCAGAGGUGAAAUUCUUGGAUUUAUUGAAGACUAACUACUGCGAAAGCAUUUGCCAAGGAUGUUUUCAUUAAUCAGGAACGAAAGUUAGGGGAUCGAAGACGAUCAGAUACCGUCGUAGUCUUAACCAUAAACUAUGCCGACUAGGGAUCGGACGGUGUUAUUAUUUGACCCGUUCGGCACCUUACG